rnacentral:rRNA from 1 species
GAUGAACGCUAGCGGCAGGCUUAAUACAUGCAAGUCGAACGGUGUAGCUAUACAAUUGUUGACGACCGGCAAACGGGUGCGGAACACGUACACAACCUUCCUACAAGUGGGGAAUAGCCCAGAGAAAUUUGGAUUAAUACCCCGUAACAUAGCGAUGUGGCAUCACAUUGCUAUUAUAGCUUCGGCGCUUGUUGAUGGGUGUGCGGCUGAUUAGAUAGUUGGCGGGGUAACGGCCCACCAAGUCUACGAUCAGUAGCUGAUGUGAGAGCAUGAUCAGCCACACGGGCACUGAGACACGGGCCCGACUCCUACGGGAGGCAGCAGUAAGGAAUAUUGGACAAUGGACGCAAGUCUGAUCCAGCCAUGCCGCGUGAAGGAUUAAGGUCCUCUGGAUUGUAAACUUCUUUUAUAAGGGACGAAAAAAGGCCUUUCUAGAUCGUCUGACGGUACCUUAUGAAUAAGCACCGGCUAACUCCGUGCCAGCAGCCGCAGUAA